AGCGAACGCUGGCGGCAGGCCUAACACAUGCAAGUCGAACGAACUCUUCGGAGUUAGUGGCGGACGGGUGAGUAACACGUGGGAACGUGCCUUUUGGUUCGGAAUAACUCAGGGAAACUUGUGCUAAUACCGAAUGUGCCCUUCGGGGGAAAGAUUUAUCGCCAUUAGAGCGGCCCGCGUCUGAUUAGCUAGUUGGUGAGGUAACGGCUCACCAAGGCGACGAUCAGUAGCUGGUCUGAGUGGAUGACCAGCCACACUGGGACUGAGACACGGCCCAGACUCCUACGGGAGGCAGCAGUGGGGAAUCUUGCGCAAUGGGCGAAAGCCUGACGCAGCCAUGCCGCGUGAAUGAUGAAGGUCUUAGGAUUGUAAAAUUCUUUCACCGGGGACGAUAAUGACGGUACCCGGAGAAGAAGCCCCGGCUAACUUCGUG
rnacentral:rRNA from 1 species